rnacentral:rRNA from 1 species
GACGGAGGGGGCAAGCGUUGUCCGGAAUUAUUGGGCGUAAAGAGCUCGUAGGCGGCUCACUAAGUCGGAUGUGAAAACUCCAGGCUCAACCUGGAGACGCCAUUCGAUACUGGUGUGGCUUGAGUUCGGUAGGGGAGCACGGAAUUCCUGGUGUAGCGGUGAAAUGCGCAGAUAUCAGGAGGAACACCGGUGGCGAAGGCGGUGCUCUGGGCCGAAACUGACGCUGAGGAGCGAAAGCGUGGGUAGCAAACAGG